rnacentral:rRNA from 1 species
GUGUCAGCCGCCGCGGUAAUACGUAGGGGGCAAGCGUUGUCCGGAUUUAUUGGGCGUAAAGAGCGUGUAGGCGGUUAGGUAGGUCCGUUCUGAAAACUCGAGGCUCAACCUCGAGACGCGGAUGGAAACCAUCUAACUAGAGUCCGGAAGAGGAGAGUGGAAUUCCUGGUGUAGCGGUGAAAUGCGCAGAUAUCAGGAAGAACACCCAUGGCUAAGGCGGCUCUCUAGUACGGUACUGACGCUGAGACGCGAAAGCGUGGGGAGCGAACAGGAUUAGAUACCCUGGUAGUCCACGCCGUAAACGAUGGGUGCUAGGUGUAGGGGGUGUCGACUCCCUCUGUGCCGAAGCUAACGCAUUAAGCACCCCGCCUGGGGAGUACGGCCGCAAGGCUAAA